ACACAACUUUCGGUCUAAUGUACC
rnacentral:siRNA from 1 species